CACACACACACAAACGCAUACAGGCGCGACGCAGGGCGGCGGCGGGUGUCUGUUGGCCCGCUUCCCUAUCCGAGUUUGUGCGCGCGCGUCAAGAGAGCGUUCGCCAGGUGAGCCCAUUCUCCGCGGAUGAAGCGCGGGCAGAGGUCGCACGCUUGCGGCUUUUCUCCUGCGCGACGCUGCCUGCUGUUCGUAGCCUCUGUGUUACUAGCAGCCAGCAUCACGCUUCUUAUCUUGUACUCGUCGCCUGACGUGGCGGUGGGAGCAGUAGACGGGGGUAAGGAUGUUUGGGUCACGGCGCCGACAGACCAGCCAGUGACCGAUGAGGAGCUGUUCGCUUGCACUCGCAGAUGGCUGCAGACAGACGGUGUUCCGGCCGACACCGUCAUCCCGUUCGUGAUUGUGCCGCUGACGCUGGAGUGGGAAGACUUCCGCAUGUUCAUGUGCCGCGUGCACGCGCGCGCGCGCUACCUCUACAUCCUGCAGAAUGGCGCAGUGGAGGAGAUGACUGUGCUGCUGACGAAGCUGCGCGCCGCGGUGCCGUCUGAGCGGCUCAUCGUCGAGUACCGACCGCAAAACAUCGGCUACGCUGCGGCUGUCAACGAAGGGUACCGGGUGGCCCUACAGAAGCCGCAUGCCGAGGUGCCCUUUAUCGGCGUGUUCAACUGCGACGUGUACUUUGAGCGCCGGUAUUUUGACAGGUACAUACCCGUUGUGUACGAAAUGCUGGCCCCCGACGCGGCCCGCAUUCGCGCGCUGGAGGAAGUGGUGGAACAGGAGGAGAGGGCGGCGCGCGCGGCAGGGCGGCAGACACUGCGCGCCAGUGUGGCAACCACACCCGGUCUCUCCAUCUCCAUGCUCCUGCCGGACCGGAUUAGGUACAGCUCCUUUGCAGAGCAGCAGGACGAGUUCAAGGGGCAUGUAGGGAUGUUUUACUACGAGACCAAGUCCAUGUGCGCCUUUCUGGUGUCGCGCCUUGCGCUGCUGGUCGGCGGCUUCCUCGAUGAAAACUUCUACCCCGCCUACUUUGAGGACUACGACUGGCAGUUCCGCCUGGCGAACCUUGGCUUCAAGAAGUUUACGGGCGCCUCAGCGCAGUUUGGCGGCUUCUUUCACAGAAUGGGUGGCAACAUCCGCGCCAUCAACAAGGGCCCUGCCAGCAAGUCCAUAAGCUACGACAUGGCGGCGAUACGGGUGGAACGUAUGCUUAACGCCAAACCGGGCAUCGACUACGGGGAGACGAAGUGGGCGUGGCAUCGCGAGGCGCUUGUGGCAAUGAGCGCGACACCCUUCCCGCAGCUGGAGUUCAUUGUUCCGUUGGAUGUGUGGGUGAUGGAUGUGGCGCGGCAUCAACUGAUCAUCGACAUCGGCACGGGGCGUCAGCCAUCCGUAGAGAUGUCGAACACGUACAACGUCUCUCUCCUUUCGAGCCUGCGGCCAUUUGCACUGGCAGACGGCAAGGACUUCUGGGGAAGCGGCAUUAUUACAGCAGAGCCGCAUUGGCGAAAGUAGUGGUGGGGACAUCGGCAGACGUGUCUACGCGCGUGCGCAGCCGACUUGACAGCGACACCGCAAAAGCACCUCCCACGCUACUACACCGAGGCGAAAAAAAAAACAGAAAACAGCAAGGCGGGUCACCUGCCACAGCAUCACGUCACAAGGGAGGGAAGCGACACGCACAAGCCCCCAACCAAUCCGGCAUCAAGAC
rnacentral:misc_RNA from 1 species